CCCUAUUAUUUCUGGAUUAAUUAUUUAUUAAAAUAGUUAUUUUCUUAAAAUAUAAAGAAUUUGGCGGUAGUUUAGUCUAGUUAGAGGAACUUGUAAUUUAAUCGAUAAUACCCGCUAAAUCUUACUUGUUUUUAAAGUUUGUAUACCGUCAUUAUCAGAUAAUAUUAAAAAAUUAUUAUUAACACGAUUAUUGUUAUAAAAAUUAGAUCAUGGUGCAGCUAAUAAGCAAGAUAUUAUGAGUUACAAUAAAAAUAUUUACACGAAUUAAAAAUAUAAUAUUUUUAUAAAGGAGGAUUUAUUUGUAUUAAUAAUUUAAUAUAUUAUUAAGAUAUAAGAUUUAAACUAUGUACAC
rnacentral:rRNA from 1 species